GACGAACCGUGCGAACGUUGUUCGGAUUCACUGGGCGUAAAGGGCGCGUAGGCGGCCACCGCAAGUCGACUGUGAAAUCUCCGGGCUUAACCCGGAAAGGUCAGCCGAUACUGCGGGGCUAGAGUGCAGAAGGGGCAACUGGAAUUCUCGGUGUAGCGGUGAAAUGCGUAGAUAUCGAGAGGAACACCUGCGGCGAAGGCGGGUUGCUGGGCUGACACUGACGCUGAGGCGCGAAAGCUAGGGGAGCGAACGGG
rnacentral:rRNA from 1 species